AACGUAGGACGCAAGCGUUAUCCGGAGUUACUGGGCGUAAAGCGCGGGCAGGCGGCUCGAUGCGUCUGAUGUGAAAUCUCCUCGCUCAACGGGGAGAGGCCAUUGGAAACGGUCGGGCUGGAGGGCAGUAGAGGAACGCGGAAUUCCAGGUGUAGCGGUGAAAUGCGUAGAUAUCUGGAGGAACACCGGUGGCGAAGGCGGCGUUCUGGACUGUCUCUGACACUGAAGAACGAAAGCCAGGGGAGCAAACGGG
rnacentral:rRNA from 1 species